rnacentral:rRNA from 1 species
GAACUACCCAUCCCUGCRGAACAACUCCGGGAAACUGGAGCUAAUACCGCAUACGCCCUACGGGGGAAAGAUUUAUCGGGGAUGGAUGAGCCCGCGUUGGAUUAGCUAGUUGGKGGGGUAAAGGCCUACCAAGGMGACGAUCCAUAGCUGGUCUGAGAGGAUGAUCAGCCACAUUGGGACUGAGACACGSCCCAAACUCCUACGGGAGGCAGCWGUGGGGAAUAUUGGACAAUGGGCGC